ACAUGUGCAAAACAAAAAUAAUAUUUUUAAAACUAUUUAGAAACGGUACAUUCUGUAAAUAACAUUCGAGAAUGAGAGAGUAUUAUAAUACGAUUUUCUUAAUUAUUCUUGUUCGUCGUAAAGGUUUUAAGAAGACAUUACGAAUCAUGUCAACGCAGAUAGUGUUGCUAACAGAGCAAACUUCGAAUCCGUCAUGUGGAACGAUCGGCUUUUUUCAGAGUUACACAAAUUAAUCGAGGAAAAUUCGAUCGUAAUUAUUAUUGGAUAAGUAAUCAGCAUUUAGUGAGAGUGUAAUACAAGUGGACGGUGGAAUAAUCUACCUGGAGAUAUCCUUCUGUUUGUCUCCGUUGCAUACAGAUCAGUUGUGGAGUUCAUCAUACAUUGUACGAGGGGAUUAAUUUGUUUGAAUCAAUAUUUUCUGGAUGUUUGUUUGGGUGAAUUAAUUGUUUUGAUGAUUUUGAAAACUUAUUGUGGGCGAGUUGAUCUCUGAGUGGGGAUGAGUUCCGUCUGAAUUGAAGCCCGCUGACGACACAACUUGUUGGUCAAUGGCAUCGCUAGAUGCUAUCAAUCGAUGGUUUUUCGGGUCAAACUUCUUGCGAAACUCCGAGGAAGAUUUGCCUGUCGAAAGUGUUACUAGCAGAGAGGAUAGAGUAAACAUUGGCAGUAUGGAAUUAUGCAAGGAUCUACAUCGUGUGUGAAACAAAUUAUUAUAUUCCUACGAUCGCAAAAAUUUUAUGUUGGUUAGAUUUGUAAACUAAUAAAGAAAAUAAUCGUCCAGUAAAUGCUGGACGAUUAAGAACCGCGUUCAAUCGAUUGAAAGGAAUCACCGCAAGGUAAAUAACAGCAAACAAUCGAAGACGCUGAACAAUAUUGGUUUCACGUACUUCAAUCGGAUGUAUUUGCGGAAGAAUGCAUUUGCGCUACCGCGUGUCUGAAAAGACAAUGGCGAAUUGCGCAACGUUUUGCGAAUGCAUACUGAAGGCGAUGGUUGUGAGGAUAUUUGCCAGGACCAAUUACCCGAACAAAAUUUUAUAAUUCAGCAGUGUCGCUAAAAAAGGGAGAUCAUGUAUUAAUAGUCGACCUCUAAGCGUCGCGAAACCUAUGGAGGUCAGGAACAAUUAGUGAGGUGUAUCCUGGCACCGACGAAAUGGCCAUGAUAGCGAAGGAUUUAUCUUGGGAAUAAUGUUCGUUAAGAAUAGUCUAUGGCAACUGCGUUGUGAUUGUAAAUACGAAUUUAUUAUAAUUGUAUGCAUAUUGUAAGGGGAAAAGGAAAAGACGUGGGAACAUGGCGAGACGUAGCAUCGAGUAACUAUUACGCCACUGCAAAAAAUGCCAGAACCUCGUAGACUGGAAGCAUACGAUUGUACAAUGACACAGUGUUGCAACAAAGCCCUAGCGUGUAAAGGAAGAUGCAAAGGGGAGUUAUUUUCCCGCGUUAUGUCAAGGUUACUAACAUGCACGGGGAAACCAAAAGCUAGAACCGGAACCGUCAAGUUACAGGAAAAACGUCACGAAAUUCGGCGAAAGUAAACAGAGCAGUUAGGAAAUUUCGGAAAGGAUAAUGAAAAAAGCCUGGGUGAAUGAUUUCCGACUCUUUACGAUACUGCAAGUAGUCGGCCAAGGAGAUGUAGCGAUGCGAAAAAAGUUCACCUUCGGCA